GACGAACGCUGGCGGCGUGCUUAACACAUGCAAGUCGAACGAAGUGGCGAACGGGUGAGUAACGCGUAAUCAACCUGCCCUUCAGAGGGGGACAACAUUUGGAAACGACUGCUAAUACCGCAUACUGAAGGAGGGGAUUGCGUCUGAUUAGCUAGUUGGAGUGGUAACGGCCCACCAAGGCGAUGAUCAGUAGCCGGUCGGAGAGGAUGAACGGACACAUUGGGACUGAGACACGGCCCAGACUCGUACGGGAGGCAGCAGUGGGGAAUCUUCAGAAAUGGACGAAAGUCGGACGGAGCAACGCCGCGUGAGUGAGGACGGCCUUCGGGUUGUAAAGCUCUGUUAAGCGGGACGCGGUACCGGAAUAGAAAGCCACGGCUAACGACGUGCCAGCAGCCGCGGUAAUUC
rnacentral:rRNA from 1 species